rnacentral:tRNA from 1 species
GCCAAUGUGGUGUAGUGGUUUGAACUUUGGACUGUGACUCUCGAGAACAGGGUUCAAAUCCCCACUCAGCCA